UUUUAUGGAGAGUUUGAUCCUGGCUCAGGACGAACGCUGGCGGCGUGCCUAAUACAUGCAAGUCGAGCGAAUGAUGAGAAGCUUGCUUCUCUGAUUUAGCGGCGGACGGGUGAGUAACACGUGGGCAACCUGCCCUGUAGACUGGGAUAACUUCGGGAAACCGGAGCUA
rnacentral:rRNA from 1 species